AUCCAUCUGACAAGUCCCAAAUAGGACGAAACAAGUGUCCUGGAU
rnacentral:hammerhead_ribozyme from 1 species